CAUGAACUCACUUUAGCAGCAGCAGCAAUGAAAUCCUACAUUUCAAUUCCUUUUUGAGUCACAGAUUACUGAUUUUACAUCAAUAUGGUUUUAUGUCCAGAAGGAAAAAAGAUAUUGAUAAAAUACUAAAGACUGCAACAAGUGGUAUUAAACCAUACUUCUGUGGCCAUCUACUCAGUUACCUGUUCCAGAGACAAGUCAUU